rnacentral:lncRNA from 1 species
AGAGGGUAGCUGCCUAGCUGAGCUGAAGCCACACACUCAUGCUGUGGCUGAACUGGAGGCAGAGAGACAGGUCUGGCCUCUCGAGCUCCCGUAUGAGAACAUCAGCUCCAAUACCCACCCACGUUGGGGAGGGCUAAUGCCCCAAAAGGAAAUUGGGAUACUGUUUAGGGAGAACGGAUGUGGGCAGCCCACAGGGAGCCUGACGGCAUAGAGCAGAUCCUGAUGACGUGGAUAAAUUGCCCCCAACAGAAAGAGACACAGCAGGGAGAAAAAGAUCCUUGUUGAUGUUUGACCUGCCUCUGAUCUUCCACAGGGGGCACAAAUCCAACUGCAGGAGGAGAAAAUGAAGCCAGUGAGACUCAAGAGAGAGAGAGAAGGAAUGACCUGGCAGCAUGAAGCUUCUGGUUCCAGGCUCCCCCUGAGGUCUCCGGAGACGUCCCAGUUCCUGAGACUCCCUCCACUCUGUUGGCUUCUCCAGUGUCUUCCCAAUCAAGUCGCCUUUUCCCUCAGGCUCCUUCCAGCUGGGUUUCUGUUUCUGGCAAACAGAGCUUCUGCUUCAUGUUCUUAUCCAGCCAACUCGGAGGGAACAUUGGCCAGUACAGAGCGAGAAGUCAUAGGAGGGCUCCCUCUGAGAUCAGGAAAUAUCUUUGCGGAGAAAGAAACUACAAACACCAAAUGCAAAAACCCUGUGGAGGCAGAGCUUCCAAAAAUGGAUUUAGGGAAGAAGACAAACUUAAGAAAAUCACCUAGAACUCAGAGGAGAAAUAUGAAAACUACAAAAACAAGAUCCCAGGCGUGAACCUACACCACUCGUCAGCCAUGCUGUGGCAGAGACCCACAUACAAAAAUAGAGGGAGAUUGGCACAGAUGUUAGUUCAGGG